GACGAACGCUGGCGGCGUGCCUAACACAUGCAAGUCGAACGGUGAAAGCAGACUUUGUUCUUCUGGAUCACUGGCCAACGGGUGAGCAACACGUGAGUAACCAGUACCAGAUUCUGGAAUAUGCUCAGGAAACGGGGUCUCAUACGGGCUACGAGUCAUCGCCGCAUGGUUACUCUCCGGUAAGUUAUUCGGUCUGGGAUGGACUCGCGGCCUAUCAGCUUGAUGCUUAGGUGACGGCUCACCAAGGCAAGGACCGGUAGCCGGCCUGAGAGGGCGACCGGCCACACUGGGACUGAGACACGGCCCAGACUCCUACGGGAGGCAGCAGUGGGGAAUAUUGCACAAUGGGCUAAAGCCUGAUGCAGCGACGCCGCGUGAGGGAUGACGGCAUUCGGGUUGUAAACCUCUUUCAGCAGGGAAGAAGCGAAAGUGACGGUACCUGCAGAAGAAGCACCGGCUAACUACGUG
rnacentral:rRNA from 1 species